rnacentral:rRNA from 1 species
GACGGGGGAUGCAAGCGUUAUCCGGAAUCACUGGGCGUAAAGCGUCUGUAGGUGGUGAUGCAAGUCACUGGUGCAAAACUCCGGCUCAACCGGAGGAAAGCCAGUGAAACGGCAUGACUAGAGUGUGGGAGAGGUAGAAGGAAUUCCCUGAGUAGCGGUGAAAUGCGUAGAUACAGGGAAGAACACCGGAGGCGAAAGCGUUCUACUGGAACACAACUGACACUGAGAGACGAAAGCUAGGGGAGCGAAUUGG